GUGAAUGUGACUCAGUGGUAGAGUGCUUGCCUACCAUGCAUGAAGCCCUGGGUUUGAUUCCUCAGUACCACA
rnacentral:tRNA from 1 species